rnacentral:rRNA from 1 species
GGAAACAGGUGCUAAUACCGUAUAACACUAUUUUCCGCAUGGAAGAAAGUUGAAAGGCGCUUUUGCGUCACUGAUGGAUGGACCCGCGGUGCAUUAGCUAGUUGGUGAGGUAACGGCUCACCAAGGCCACGAUGCAUAGCCGACCUGAGAGGGUGAUCGGCCACACUGGGACUGAGACACGGCCCAGACUCCUACGGGAGGCAGCAGUAGGGAAUCUUCGGCAAUGGACGAAAGUCUGACCGAGCAACGCCGCGUGAGUGAAGAAGGUUUUCGGAUCGUAAAACUCUGUUGUUAGAGAAGAACAAGGAUGAGAGUAGAACGUUCAUCCCUUGACGGUAUCUAACCAGAAAGCCACGGCUAACUACGUGCCAGCAGCCGCGGUAAUACGUAGGUGGCAAGCGUUGUCCGGAUUUAUUGGGCGUAAAGCGAGCGCAGGCGGUUUCUUAAGUCUGAUGUGAAAGCCCCCGGCUCAACCGGGGAGGGUCAUUGGAAACUGGGAGACUUGAGUGCAGAAGAGGAGAGUGGAAUUCCAUGUGUAGCGGUGAAAUGCGUAGAUAUAUGGAGGAACACCAGUGGCGAAGGCGGCUCUCUGGUCUGUAACUGACGCUGAGGCUCGAAAGCGUGGGGAGCGAACAGGAUUAGAUACCCUGGUAGUCCACGCCGUAAACGAC